GCAUAUCAAUAAGCGGAGGAAAAGAAACCAACAGGGAUUGCCCCAGUAACGGCGAGUGAAGCGGCAACAGCUCAAAUUUGAAAUCUGGCCUCGUGCCCGAGUUGUAAUUUGUAGAGGAUGCUUUUGGCGACGCGCCUUCCGAGUUCCCUGGAACGGGACGCCAUAGAGGGUGAGAGCCCCGUCCGGUCGUGCGCCUAGCCUCUGUAAAGCUCCUUCGACGAGUCGAGUAGUUUGGGAAUGCUGCUCUAAAUGGGAGGUAUACGUCUUCUAAAGCUAAAUACCGGCCAGAGACCGAUAGCGCACAAGUAGAGUGAUCGAAAGAUGAAAAGCACUUUGAAAAGAGGGUUAAAUAGUACGUGAAAUUGCUGAAAGGGAAGCGCUUAUGACCAGACUUGGGCGCGGCGGAUCAUCCGGCGUUCUCGCCGGUGCACUCCACCGCCCCAGGCCAGCAUCAGUUCGCGCCGGGGGACAAAGGCUUCGGGAAUGUGGCUCUCUCGGGAGUGUUAUAGCCCGCUGCGCAAUACCCUGGCGCGGACUGAGGUCCGCGCUCUGCAAGGAUGCUGGCGUAAUGGUCAUCAGUGACCCGUCUUGAAACACGGACCAAGGAGUCGUCUUCGUAUGCGAGUGUUCGGGUGUCAAACCCCUACGCGGAAUGAAAGUGAACGUAGGAGAGAGCUUCGGCGCAUCUCCGACCGAUCCUGAUGUUCUCGGAUGGAUUUGAGUAAGAGCAUACGGGGCCGGACCCGAAAGAAGGUGAACUAUGCCUGUGUAGGGUGAAGCCAGAGGAAACUACUGGUGGAGGCUCGCAGCGGUUCUGACGUGCAAAUCGAUCGUCAAACAUGGGCAUGGGGGGCGAAAGACUAAUCGAACCUUCUAGUAGCUGGUUUCCGCCGAAG
rnacentral:rRNA from 1 species